rnacentral:rRNA from 1 species
UACGGGGGGAGCAAGCGUUGUUCGGAUUUACUGGGCGCAAAGGGCGCGUAGGCGGCCAGCACAAGUCAGUUGUGAAAUCUCCGAGCUUAACUCGGAAAGGUCAACUGAUACUGUGCGGCUAGAGUGCGGAAGGGGCAACUGGAAUUCUUGGUGUAGCGGUGAAAUGCGUAGAUAUCAAGAGGAACACCUGCGGCGAAGGCGGGUUGCUGGGCCGACACUGACGCUGAGGCGCGAAAGCCAGGGGAGCGAACAGG